GAUGAACGCUGGCGGCGUGCCUAAUACAUGCAAGUCGAGCGAACGGACGAGAAGCUUGCUUUUCUGAUGUUAGCGGCGGACGGGUGAGUAACACGUGGAUAACCUACCUAUAAGACUGGGAUAACUUCGGGAAACCGGAGCUAAUACCGGAUAAUAUUUUGAACCGCAUGGUUCAAAAGUGAAAGACGGUCUUGCUGUCACUUAUAGAUGUAUCCGCGCUGCAUUAGCUAGUUGGUAAGGUAACGGCUUACCAAGGCAACGAUGCAUAGCCGACCUGAGAGGGUGAUCGGCCACACUGGAACUGAGACACGGUCCAGACUCCUACGGGAGGCAGCAGUAGGGAAUCUUCCGCAAUGGGCGAAAGCCCGACGGAGCAACGCCGCGUGAGUGAUGAAGGUCUUCGGAUCGUAAAACUCUGUUAUUAGGGAAGAACAUAUGUGUAAGUAACUGUGCACAUCUUGACGGUACCUAAUCAGAAAGCCACGGCUAACUACGUG
rnacentral:rRNA from 1 species